ACGCUCGACACCUACGGGAGACAGCAGUGAGGAAUAUUGGUCAAUGGGCGCAGGCCUGAACCAGCCAAGUAGCGUGAAGGAUGACUGCCCUAUGGGUUGUAAACUUCUUUUAUAUGGGAAUAAAGUUUUCCACGUGUGGAAUUUUGUAUGUACCAUAUGAAUAAGGAUCGGCUAACUCCGUGCUAGCAGCCGCGGUAAUCUGAGCGGGCUGGCAAGGC
rnacentral:rRNA from 1 species